UGAGGGAAUAUUUGGGGUCAAUGGGCGAGAGCCUGAACCAGCCAAGUCGCGUGAGGGAAGACGGUCCUACGGAUUGUAAACUUCUUUAGACGCAGAGCAAUAAGGGUCUCGUGAGAUCCGAUGAGAGUAUGCGUAGAAUAAGCAUCGGCUAACUCCGUGCCAGCAGCCGCGGUAAUACGGGGGAUGCGAGCGUUAUCCGGAUUUAUUGGGUUUAAAGGGUGCGUAGGCGGAAGUGCAAGUCAGCGGUGAAAUCCCCGCGCUCAACGCGGGAGUUGCCGUUGAUACUGUACAUCUGGAAUGCUCUUGCCGUGGGAGGAAUGAGUAGUGUAGCGGUGAAAUGCAUAGAUAUUACUCAGAACACCGAUUGCGAAGGCAUCUCACGAAGGGGCGAUUGACGCUGAGGCACGAAAGCGUGGGGUAUCGAACAGGAUUAGAUACCCU
rnacentral:rRNA from 1 species